UUAUGGCUCAGGACGAACGCUGGCGGCACGCUUAACACAUGCAAGUCGAACGGAGAAUAUUUGAGUUACUUAGAUAUCUUAGUGGCGGACGGGUGAGUAACACGUGAGCAACCUACCUUAGAGAGAGGGAUAGCUUCUGGAAACGGAUGGUAAUACCUCAUAACAUAACUGAACCGCAUGAUUUAGUUAUCAAAGAUUUAUCACUCUGAGAUGGGCUCGCGUCUGAUUAGAUAGUUGGUGAGGUAACGGCUCACCAAGUCGACGAUCAGUAGCCGGACUGAGAGGUUUGAACGGCCACAUUGGGACUGAGACACGGCCCAGACUCCUACGGGAGGCAGCAGUGGGGAAUAUUGCACAAUGGGGGAAACCCUGUAAUGCAGCGAUGCCGCGUGGAGGAAGAAGGUUUUCGGAUUGUAAACUCCUGUCUUAAAGGACGAUAAUGACGGUACUUUAGGAGGAAGCUCCGGCUAACUACGUGCCAGCAGCAGC
rnacentral:rRNA from 1 species